ensembl:snoRNA LOC120102769 small nucleolar RNA U3
AAGACUAUACUUGAACGACAUUUCCAUUGUUACCACAGAAGUUACCCUGACCUUAUAGAAUACCUGAAAUCACGGGAAGGAGACCAAGAAUUCUUUCCUGAGUGUAAAGCCACUGUUGAUAUCGCUUCCUCACAAUGGCUAUAUGCCAUUGAUGAUUGUCCUUCUCUCCAUGUAGGGGAGAGAAAUAAGAAGGAAAACAAGGUGUAGUGGU